GCUGGGCAUGGUGGUGCGUGCCUGUAAUCCCAGCUACUAGGGAGGCUGAGGCAGGAGAAUCACUUGAACACAGGAGACGGAGGUUGCAGUGAGCUGAGAUCGAGACACUGUACUCCUACCACUGCACUCCAGCCUGGGUGACAGAGUGAGACUCUGCCUCAA
ensembl:misc_RNA Metazoa_SRP Metazoan signal recognition particle RNA